AGGCUGGUGCAAACAAAGCAGAAAAUCAGAAGAAAAUGGCAACAGCAUCACAGAGAAAACAGAAAAGAAAAUCAUGAUGUGUCAGUAAAAAGAGAGAUACAGAACUAGUGCAAACAACAGAUAACCAAAAAGUGGCUGCAGUGUCCAGAGAAAACUAAAGGAGAAAGUGUGAUGAUUAGUAGCGAGGUCUCUGUGACAUUUGCUCUUCAGGCAGCAACAGUUUGAGAAAACCGUGUACCAUGAGUUCUCUGUCCUAACACCUCAAAUGUUAUCUUUUUUAAUCAUAUCCUGUGUAUCUUUCUCAUUAUUUAAAUCUUGCUCAGAUCAAACAAAACGAAUGUUUGUAGGUAAGGGUUUCAUGCACGGUUCAAGAAAUUUUUUCUGCGGGGGGUGGGGGUUGGGGCUGGGGACGUCCAAGGCAUAUUUUUCAGUAAUUUUACUAUGUAAAUUUUUAAAAAUUGGAUUUUCCAGGGGAUGGGAGGUCUGGACCGCCCCCCUUUCCUCUAUAGAUCUGCAACACAGGUUUGUAAUGAGCUAGAAUUAUAGCUCUAUGCUAAUAUCUAAGUCAUAGGUUAAGGUGAAAGUAAAGUUCUCUGAAAUGCUUUUCAUCCUAUUGCCCAUUAUAAAAGUGGGGCUCUUUGAGAUGGUGACCAUCUCAAUGAUGUCUAGUCCACACAGCUGAUAUACCCUGGCAGAUGAGAGACUGGGAUCAUUAUAUAACAUGUUGUCGAGAUCCACUUGUUCAAUUUUUUGUGAGUGAAAUUAUUUUGACAAGUAGUAUAAAUAUCUGUUAUAAGUACAUGCAUGUUUACCAAAAAUGGAAUAAAAUAUUAAUCAAUGC
rnacentral:misc_RNA from 1 species